GACGAACGCUGGCGGCGUGCUUAACACAUGCAAGUCGAACGAUGAACCCGGAGCUUGCUCCGGCGGAUUAGUGGCGAACGGGUGAGUAACACGUGAGUAACCUGCCCUUGACUCUGGGAUAACUGCGGGAAACUGUAGCUAAUACCGGAUACGACCCUCGGCGGCAUCGCCAGGGGGUGGAAAGAAUUUCGGUCAAGGAUGGACUCGCGGCCUAUCAGCUAGUUGGUGAGGUAACGGCUCACCAAGGCGACGACGGGUAGCCGGCCUGAGAGGGUGACCGGCCACAGUGGGACUGGGACACGGCCCAGACUCCUACGGGAGGCUGCAGUAGGGAAUCUUCCGCAAUGGACGAAAGUCUGACGGAGCGACGUUGCGUGAAGGAUGAAGCCCUUAGGGGUGUAAACUUCUUUUGACUGGGAAGAAACCGCAAGGUUGACUGUACCAGUAGAAUAAGGGGUUCCUAACUCUGUGCCAGCAGCCGCCGUAA
rnacentral:rRNA from 1 species